CCCUCUCUUUCUCUCUUAAAAGGGACCUCCCGGCUCCCAGCCGUCACCCCACGCACAGCCACCCCCACACAACCCCAACAACCCCAUGAUGGGACCUCAUGGCCAGCCUUUCAUGUCUCCAAGGUACCCAGGUGGACCUCGCCCCUCACUCCGCAUGCCAAAUCAGCCCCCUGUGGGAGGUCCAGGGUCACAGCCUCUCCUGCCA